CUGCUGCCUUCCGUAGGAGUCUGGUCCGUGUCUCAGUACCAGUGUGGGGGACCUUCCUCUCAGAACCCCUACGCAUCGUCGCCUUGGUGGGCCGUUACCCCGCCAACUAGCUAAUGCGACGCAUGACCAUCCGUAGCCGGAAUCGCUUCCUUUAAACCCGAGGAGAUGCCUCCUCGGGUUGUUACGCGGUAUUAGACGGAAUUUCUUCCGCUUAUCCCCCUGCUACGGGCAGGUUUCAUACGUGUUACCCACCCGUGCGCCGGUCGCAGGCGGGAG
rnacentral:rRNA from 1 species